CCAGACUCCUACGGGAGGCAGCAGUGGGGAAUAUUGCACAAUGGGGGAAACCCUGAUGCAGCGACGCCGCGUGAGCGAUGAAGUAUUUCGGUAUGUAAAGCUCUAUCAGCAGGGAAGAAAAUGACGGUACCUGACUAAGAAGCCCCGGCUAACUACGUGCCAGCAGCCGCGGUAAUACGUAGGGGGCAAGCGUUAUCCGGAUUUACUGGGUGUAAAGGGAGCGUAGACGGCGGUGCAAGCCAGAUGUGAAAGCCCGGGGCUCAACCCCGGGACUGCAUUUGGAACUGUGCUGCUAGAGUGUCGGAGAGGCAGGCGGAAGUCCUAGUGUAGCGGUGAAAUGCGUAGAUAUUAGGAGGAACACCGGCGGCGAAGGCGGCCUGCUGGACCGUAACUGACGUUGAGGCUCGAAAGCGUGGGGAGCAAACAGGAUUAGAUACCCCAGUAAGA
rnacentral:rRNA from 1 species